GACGAACGCUGGCGGCGUGCUUAACACAUGCAAGUCGAACGGGAUCCGGGCUUUCGGGUUUGGUGAGAGUGGCGAACGGGUGAGUAACACGUGAGUAACCUGCCCCCUUCUUUGGGAUAACGUCGGGAAAUCGGCGCUAAUACUGGAUAUUCUUGCUGCAUCGCAUGGUGUGGUUUGGAAAGGGUUUCUGGUGGGGGAUGGGCUCGCGGCCCAUCAGCUUGUUGGUGGGGUGAUGGCCUACCAAGGCUUUGACGGGUAGCCGGCCUGAGAGGGUGUCCGGCCACACUGGGACUGAGACACGGCCCAGACUCCUACGGGAGGCAGCAGUGGGGAAUAUUGCACAAUGGGCGCAAGCCUGAUGCAGCGACGCCGCGUGAGGGAUGACGGCCUUCGGGUUGUAAACCUCUUUCAGUAUGGAACAAGGAUCCUUCUUUUGGGGGGUUUGAGGGUACGUGCAGAAGAAGCGCCGGCUAACUACGUG
rnacentral:rRNA from 1 species